ACGGCUCACCAAGCGACGAUACAUACCGACCUGAGAGGUGAUUCGGCCACACUGGGACUGAGACCCGGCCCAGACUCCUACGGGAGGCAGCAGUAGGGAAUCUUCGGCAAUGGACGGAAGUCUGACCGAGCAACGCCGCGUGAGUGAAGAAGGUUUUCGGAUCGUAAAGCUCUGUUGUAAGAGAAGAACGAGUGUGAGAGUGGAAAGUUCACACUGUGACGGUAUCUUACCAGAAAGGGACGGCUAACUACGUGCCAGCAGCCGCGGUAAUACGUAGGUCCCGAGCGUUAUCCGGAUUUAUUGGGCGUAAAGCGAGCGCAGGCGGUUAGAUAAGUCUGAAGUUAAAGGCUGUGGCUUAACCAUAGUACGCUUUGGAAACUGUUUAACUUGAGUGCAGAAGGGGAGAGUGGAAUUCCAUGUGUAGCGGUGAAAUGCGUAGAUAUAUGGAGGAACACCGGUGGCGAAAGCGGCUCUCUGGUCUGUAACUGACGCUGAGGCUCGAAAGCGUGGGGAGCAAACAGGAUUAGAUACCCUGGUAGUCCACGCCGUAAACGAUGAGUGCUAGGUGUUGGGUCCUUUCUCGGGACUCAGUGCCGCAGCUAACGCAUUAAGCACUCCGCCUGGGGAGU
rnacentral:rRNA from 1 species